GAACGAUGAAGCUGGUGCUUGCACUGGUGGAUUAGUGGCGAACGGGCGAGUAUCACGUGAGUAACCUUCCCUUGACUCUGGGAUAAGCCCGGGAAACUGGGUCUAAUACCGGAUAUGACCGGCCUCCGCAUGGGGUGCUGGUGGAAAGCUUUUGCGGUUUUGGAUGGACUCGCGGCCUAUCAGUUUGUUGGUGAGGUAAUGGCUUACCAAGGCGAUGACGGGUAGCCGGCCUGAGAGGGUGACCGGCCACACUGGGACUGAGACACGGCCCAGACUCCUACGGGAGGCAGCAGUGGGGAAUAUUGCACAAUGGGCGCAAGCCUGAUGCAGCGACGCCGCGUGCGGGAUGACGGCCUUCGGGUUGUAAACCGCUUUCAGCAAGGAAGAAGCUUUUUGUGACGGUACUUGCAGAAGAAGCGCCGGCUAACUACGUGCCAGCAGCCGCGGUAAUACGUAGGGCGCGAGCGUUAUCCGGAAUUAUUGGGCGUAAAGAGCUCGUAGGCGGUUUGCCACGUCUGCUGUGAAAGCCCGGGGCUCAACCUCGGGUGUGCAGUGGGUACGGGUAGGCUGGAGUGCAGUAGGGGAGACUGGAAUUCCUGGUGUAGCGGUGAAAUGCGCAGAUAUCAGGAGGAACACCGAUGGCGAAGGCAGGUCUCUGGGCUGUUACUGACGCUGAGGAGCGAAAGCAUGG
rnacentral:rRNA from 1 species